rnacentral:rRNA from 1 species
CAACUCUCAACAACGGNUAUCUUGGCUCCCGUAACGAUGAAGNACGCAGCGANNUGCGAUACGUAGUGUGAAUUGCAGAAUUCCGUGAACCAUCGAAUCUUUGAACGCAAAUUGCGCUCGAGGCCUCGGCCAAGAGCAUGUCUGCCUCAGCGUCGGCUACUACCCUCAA